rnacentral:rRNA from 1 species
GACGAACGCUGGCGGCGUGCUUAACACAUGCAAGUCGAACGGAAAGGCCCUGCUUUUGUGGGGUGCUCGAGUGGCGAACGGGUGAGUAACACGUGAGUAACCUGCCCUUGACUUUGGGAUAACUUCAGGAAACUGGGGCUAAUACCGGAUAGGAGCUCCUGCUGCAUGGUGGGGGUUGGAAAGUUUCGGCGGUUGGGGAUGGACUCGCGGCUUAUCAGCUUGAUGGUGGGGUAGUGGCUUACCAAGGCUUUGACGGGUAGCCGGCCUGAGAGGGUGACCGGCCACAUUGGGACUGAGAUACGGCCCAGACUCCUACGGGAGGCAGCAGUGGGGAAUAUUGCACAAUGGGCGGAAGCCUGAUGCAGCAACGCCGCGUGCGGGAUGACGGCCUUCGGGUUGUAAACCGCUUUCGCCUGUGACGAGGCGUGAGUGACGGUAAUGGGUAAAGAAGCACCGGCUAACUACGUG